rnacentral:rRNA from 1 species
AGGGAAUCUUCCACAAUGGGCGAAAGCCUGAUGGAGCAACGCCGCGUGAGUGAAGAAGGAUUUCGGUUCGUAAAACUCUGUUGUAAGGGAAGAACAAGUACAGUAGUAACUGGCUGUACCUUGACGGUACCUUAUUAGAAAGCCACGGCUAACUACGUGCCAGCAGCCGCGGUAAUACGUAGGUGGCAAGCGUUGUCCGGAAUUAUUGGGCGUAAAGCGCGCGCAGGUGGUUUCUUAAGUCUGAUGUGAAAGCCCACGGCUCAACCGUGGAGGGUCAUUGGAAACUGGGAGACUUGAGUGCAGAAGAGGAUAGUGGAAUUCCAAGUGUAGCGGUGAAAUGCGUAGAGAUUUGGAGGAACACCAGUGGCGAAGGCGACUAUCUGGUCUGUAACUGACACUGAGGCGCGAAAGCGUGGGGAGCAAACA